rnacentral:rRNA from 1 species
GAUGAACGCUGGCGGUCUGCUUAACACAUGCAAGUCGAACGGAAUCUUUCGGGAUUUAGUGGCGGACGGGUGAGUAACGCGUGAGAAUCUGCCUUCAGGUUCGGGACAACAGUUGGAAACGGCUGCUAAUACCGGAUGUGCCGAGAGGUGAAAGCUUAAGUGCCUGGAGAUGAGCUCGCGUCUGAUUAGCUAGUAGGAGUGGUAACGGCACCCCUAGGCGACGAUCAGUAGCUGGUCUGAGAGGAUGAUCAGCCACACUGGGACUGAGACACGGCCCAGACUCCUACGGGAGGCAGCAGUGGGGAAUUUUCCGCAAUGGGCGCAAGCCUGACGGAGCAAGACCGCGUGAGGGAAGAAGGUCUGUGGAUUGUAAACCUCUUUUGAUAGGGAAGAAGACAGUGACGGUACCUAUCGAAUCAGCCUCGGCUAACUCCGUGCCAGCAGCCGCGGUAAUACGGAGGAGGCAAGCGUUAUCCGGAAUUAUUGGGCGUAAAGAGUCCGUAGGUGGGUCACCUAGUCAGUUGUUAAAUAGUGAAGCUUAACUUCAUAGAGGCGACUGAAACUGGUGGUCUAGAGUGUGGUAGGGGUAGAGGGAAUUUCCAGUGUAGCGGUGAAAUGCGUAGAUAUUGGAAAGAACACCGGUGGCGAAAGCGCUCUACUGGGCCUGCACUGACACUGAGGGACGAAAGCUAGGGGAGCGAAAGGGAUUAGAUACCCCUGUAGUCCUAGCCGUAAACGAUGGAUACUAGGCGUUGCCCG